UUUUGUAACAUCCUAAUUGUCAAAGCAGUAGUCUGUGAAGGAUUGAGACUGGGAGGGAAAGAAUAUGGGAUGGAAAGAGUGUGCAGAAAACACAAAUGGGUAUCCUCAUGGGGUUUUAUUUAUUUAGAAAUAAAAUUUGAAAACUAACCAAGAAAAUAUGAUUCUAUUUUAUUUUUAUUUGUAUUUUUUUCAAGUGAUGGAGUCUUGCUAUGUUGCCCAGGCUGGCCCUGAACUCCUGAGCUCAAGUAAUCCUCCUGCCUCAGCUUCUCCUGAAGCUUGAAAUACGGGUGUAUACCACUGUGCCUGGCUGAGAAUUUCAUUUUGUUUGUAGUGUUUUUUGGACUUUUCUAGUGUUGUUAUCAAAUUAAGUGUACAUAGAGUUGUGGGGGGCAGAAUUCAAAACUUAUCUUCAGGUACAAGGUGACUUUCAUUUGCGGUCAGCUCUCUUGGAGAUGGCCUUUCUCUGUGGUCUCCGUGCAAGCCUGCCUCCAGACUUAAAGGACAUAUGACUUUCUUCUCCCAAAGGUUCAGCAAUUUGUGCUCAUGCAGAGUAGUGGGUUAUUGCAGCAUGAAAUUAAACAAUAAUUGUAAUUGUACUUUCUUCCCUAAGGACCUUAAAUACUGGAGAUAUUCUUUGAAUGCAUUUAUUCAGACUUGCCCAUGGCCACUUGUGCACUUGAGCAGGGCAAGUAACAAUUUAAAGAGAGCUAAUUUCAGCCUGUGAACAUUUAGGGGCCACGUGGGCUAAUGAAACUGAUUUGUAGACUUGUCCAGAGACAUUCACAGACUCAUUUGUAGGCAUCUCCUUUGCAUAGUUCAGGAACCCUUUAGUUUAAUUGAUCCAGAAUAACACAAACACAGUUAAAUCUUGUAUUUGUGGUGUGAUCACAUAGCUAAUUAAAAAAAAACAACCUCUGUUAAUUUAGCUUUAGGCAUAUACAGUGAAUAACUUACAUGCAUAUCUUAUGUUUAUUUUUCAAGGAAAAUCAUUAGGGGGAUAAAUUCCUGUAUUAGUCGAAGUGGGGAUCAGAUGUUACUGAUACAGUAUGUAUAUGUAAAUAUCAAAUAUAUGUACAUAUAAAAUUUGUUUGCUUGUUUCACAUACUUUUUCCUUUCUUUGAUCAUUGAAAGAUUUUAAAGCAGAAUUAUCUAUAUAAUUUUGUUUUUUUUCCCUAAACAGGUUGAGAAGUUCAAAUGGAGCUGACAGUAAGCUUGUAUAUUUAAACAUUUUAUUUUUAUUUUUGUCUUAUGAAUGGUGAGGUUCAGUGUCCUGCUGAGACUUUUGUAGUUCUUUAAUUAGUAUUUAUAAUUUUUGUCUAGUAUACAAAGUAGAACAUUCAGUAUAAAGAUAGAAAGUUGAGUAUCUUUCUCCAAAUAAAUCAGGGCUGAUAUGUGAUCUGUUCUUUUCCAAUUACCUCUUUGACUGUGAUUUUACUGUUUCCUUUAUGAGUGUGGGGAUACCCUCUGACUUCAUUUUGACUUGUCAACAACUUUGUCAUUUUUCUACGCUUUGCUCAUUAAGAGCAAACCAUUCGGAAGAGUAUAUGUGAAUGCCUUUUCCUGUGCAGUUUCAAUAGCACUUUAUGCCCCAAAUUGCUAAAUAGUGUUAAGUCUUAUAACCAGAAGCCUUAUCUGUUUGCUCCUUCUCUCCUGCGUAGGCUAGUACCUGGCAUACAAUAGGUGCUUAGUAAGCGUGUGUUGAAUAAACAAGAAUAAGGUUUCACAGCUUCUUAAGUGGUGAAGUCCUGCUUGACUCAGCUUUAUCACACUCUUCAGAUAUUUACACCUUCAGAUAUUUACACCCCCAUGAAGGUCUUCCCUCCAGGUAGAAUUAAUGUGGUCCCAAAACCUUGGUACACACACCUCUGUUAUAUUACUUAGCAAACUGUAUUGUGAUUCUAGUUAUGUAUCUUUUUCUCUAGUAUGUUGCAUAUACUUUUCUCUUAUUCCUAUCUCCCUUGCCUAGCAAGACCCGGAGUGGGUGCUGAAUAUAUAUGUAUUUGCUUAUUGAAUGAAUUCAGAAAGGAAUAGUCUUUUCUGCUGAUUUUACUAUUUUAUCAUACACCCCCAAAGGAAGUGAUGCCUGCUCCUUUCUUCUCCAGCAACAAGAAGCCAGUGAGAUCUGUGAGACUGGGCUCAUUAUGCUGCUUACUCUACUAGGUAUAAGGAAGUUGCCACCAUGAGACUAAAGUUUCUCCACUUUAAUUUUGAUUUUAUGAAAUGGCAAAACUGUUGCAGAGUCUUUCUCUGGAGCCUUGUAAUUUAGCCUGGAGCAGAUAGAAGAGAAUGAGUUAAACUUGGAGGGGUGUUCCCAGCACACAGAAGUUGCUUCUCCAAGCAAAUCCCUUGGUGCUGUUAUCCACCCACUCCUUUGUUUCUGGUAUAUACCCCUUAAUGUGUUUUCAUCAUUUUGCUCUUAUUUUAGGUCAGUGAAGUAGUCUGCUAAUAACUUGGCAUUAAUAAUAUCUUUCUGUGGAUACUGUGUCUUGGUAGGGAGCUCAGAGAAUCGUGCUUCUGGGAUGUUGUGAAGUGUGAUGGGCAGCUGAGUGCUUUUUGCAACCCUGAGGUGUAAUUGGUUCAGAGGAAAUACAUCUUUGAGGCUAAUAUUACCUGUCUUUCUCCAAUUCCCUAUAUAAAUAUGUUUGGAGAUAUUACAUUGAUGAUUGGAAGCUGUCAGGGUACCAUGUGCAAUAAUGUGGUUAAAGGAUAUUAGGUAAGCUUUUUCAAAUCCAGAGAAGCCAUUCUGAUUAACCUGUUCAAUAAUAACUUUGAAGUCAAUAUAUUCAUAAGCAUGUAUUUAUCUCCAGCCCAGUAAUUAAAAUGCCAAUCUUCUCUAUAAUUUCAGAGAUCUCAGCCUCCUUAAAAAGCCCUCAAGAGCCUCACCAUCAUUACUCAGGUAGGAAGUGUGUGUGCAUAGAAGGUCAUCUGAACUCAAUGUCUGUGAUUCUGCACUUGGAAAAAGAAACAUCGGGGAAUUCCAUGUUAUUGAUAUAGCUCCAAACUUGGAAAAUUGUUCACUUUGUUGGAGAACAACCUUUAAGUUUUUUUUCUAGGCAUUGACUUGGAAAGGCAAAUUGUGAGGAAUUAAGAGGAUAUAGAUUCAAAGUUUUUAUUGGCAAGUUCCAAAUUGUGAAGGAGCAGGAUGUUCUGGAGGUCUACAGAUUCCUUGCAUACUCCAAGGCAACCUAGAGCCAGAGAUCUUUUGUAUUUUAUAUCGAGGGAAAGACAGACCUGGAAGUAGUUCUUUGAGGGAGGGUUUUUUACCCUCCAUGGGCCCUCAAUAAACAUAUCCACAGAAUAGAUGCCACCUCACCUAGAAAGUUUAACAAAGAUGCCUUACACAUAUAUUAUUAAAAAAAGAUGUCCAGGGUCUUGACUCUCUUAAGCAAUAUCACAUCAUAGUGCUUCAGCUGUCUUUCUUUCAAAGGGGGAAUAACUGUACUUGCUUUUCCUGAGGAACAGUCUGCCAAAGGGCUGGGGGAGAACUAAGAGGAAAACACUUUGAAAUGCAAAACAAUAGAACAACCAACUGGACUUGUGCCACUGGAUGGUUUCUUGGAGGUCACUGCUCUCAACCUAUAUGACAUAAUACACGGGUCAGCCAAUCUUUUAUACAAUCUAAAGCUCAGUACGUGGGCAAGACCUUGUGCUAGAGUUACCAUUCUUAUUAUAAUCAAGGUCAUUUUUUAGGGUCCAGUAAUAGACUGCCUCAUCCUGAAUUCUCCUCUGUAGUGAAUAAUGUGUUAGUGGAUUCCUCAUCCCAGGCUCUUAUAACCAGGUCUCUCAGCUCAGCAGUCAUCCAUUAUUUUGACUCCAGCUGUCAACUGAAGAAAGUCUCUGGUGAGGAAUACUGCAACUCAUAUUGACUCAGAUCUGCUAGGAUAUGGCUCUUCCCAGGAAAAUGCAGAUCUCUUGCUUCUAAUUAAAAUGAGUCUUCACAUCUCUCUGGGAAAAGGAGUGAAUUGCACAAAAUCACCAGUAGGUGUCCCCACAGUCCACUGUGCAUUGGAUUUGCUUUAGAAAAGGAAAACCAGAGAAUGAAGACCACAAAUUAAAAUGCCAUUUAAAAGACAGUUCCACGUAUGUAUGGGUUGGUGUGUGGUUUGCCAUUCAGGAGAGCAGGGGACAUAGUCCUUCCUUGAACCAUGUCAUAUAACCUCAUAUAAAAUGUUCCUAAGGCUGGGAUUAUUAUUGGCAUUUAAGGCAUAGUAUAUAUUUAAAAAUGGUAUAAUUUAUCAUAUAUUGAUAAUGGCAAAAAUAAAAGGCCUUUGAAAUGAAAUAUUCUCGCAUUAUUUGAUUAUAUUGAUGGGGGAAGAUUUUCUGUAAAUUUAAUCCAAUGUUUCAGACUUAAAAGGGUAAAACUGUUUUUGUUUGCAGCCAUUGAAAGGAAUAAUUUAAUGAGGCUGUCUCAGACCAUACCGUUUACACCCAUCCAACUGUUUGGUGAGUAGCAUCUCUACCUUCUUGAGGUCAC
rnacentral:lncRNA from 1 species